rnacentral:rRNA from 1 species
GUGAGGAAUUUUCCGCAAUGGGCGAAAGCCUGACGGAGCAAUGCCGCGUGAAGGAUGAAGGCCUAUGGGUUGUAAACUUCUUUUCUCAGAAAAGAAUUAUGACGGUAUCUGAGGAAUAAGCAUCGGCUAACUCUGUGCCAGCAGCCGCGGUAAGACAGAGGAUGCAAGCGUUAUCCGGAAUGAUUGGGCGUAAAGCGUCUGUAGGUUGUUUAAAAAGUAUUCUGUCAAAGAUUAGGGCUUAACCCUAGAUAGGCAGAAUAAACUUUUAAGCUAGAGUUUGGUAGAGGCAGAGGGAAUUCCCGGUGGAGCGGUGAAAUGCGUGGAUAUCGGGAGGAACACCAAAGGCGAAGGCACUCUGCUGGGCCAAUACUAACACUGAGAGACGAAAGCGAGGGGAGCAAAUGGGAUUAGAAACCCGAGUAGUCC